ensembl:lncRNA
GACCGUCGGAACGUCGUGCAACGGGACUGCUGCUGGAUCCUGGUGAACUGUCCUUCCCAAAGAGUACUCUGCCAUUGCAGUGAACUGGACUGAACAUCCUGAGAGAAACCUAGCAAGACUUUCUGCUGUGGAACACAGGAUUGAUACAUGCAACACUCAUCCCUCUCCUGCUACUCGAGGAAAUCCAAGGAUGUUAUCAUGUUGCACAUCAUAUCCAUCCUUGGAUCUAUUCAAGAUGUGAGCAAUUUGGUCUGCUCCCAUUGCUGACCAACUUUCAGGAGGUUGGAAAACAAAGCUCCUUAGCUAUCUUUCACUUUGAGUUAUGCCAUGAACUUCCGAAUUUUUAGAUCACAUGAAGUUAUCCAGAAAUGACUUUGUUUAAGGAUCCAAACUGUAAACCACUGAUUUUUCUUUGCAGAAGUGAAGAAACAGAUUCCACUUUAGAAGAACACGUGUCAGGUACUUGUGCUCACAGAUUCUUAUGCUUUGGCAAAUUUUGUAGUAUUUUCUGGAUAAUUUUUAUCAAAGCAGAAGGGAACUGUGGGUAUUUUUAGAGAGGUUUGGGCUUUUUUUUUUUUUUUUUUCUUCUUUCAAUCUCCCCAAAUCCAGUGGAAAUAUGUAACACAAACUUGGUUUCACUUAUAAUUUCUGAGAGCAACCCAUUGUUAAUAAACACCUUAACCAGCCUGUGACUGUUCACUCAACACGUGCUCAGAUUUUGGAUAACCCACAGCUGUAAGUCUAAGGCCAUGUGUAUGCUGGCAGCAGCAUCACUCAGUCAAAGUGAGAGCAACGCAUGAGCAGGACACAAUGGACAGGAAAGGCCAAAGGUCAUUAAGCACCUGUUACCACCUGCAUCUCAAUGUCUCCUGCAGCCAUUACCCUCAAAUGGAUUAUCUGGCAGCUUCUUCAGGGUAUAGUGACUCAUGGACAUGGUGUAGACCAUGUCUGUCCAACCUUCUGGCUUACCUGGGCUGCACUGAGUGAAAAGGAAUUGUCUUGGACUGUGUACAAAAUAUAUAAUAUAGUUAAUGUCUAUAAGUAACAAAACUUCUUUUAUUUUUUAAUAUUUUUAAUUAAAACAAACAAACAAACAAACAAAGAUAACAAUAAAGACAUAAAACUAGUGAGAUAUUUGAGUUUGUUUUUGUUAAACUAAUGUACCAGUCUGGUUCAGUGGAAGUGGUUGAAGUUUUUAGUCAGUUCUCAAGGUGUUCAUCAAAGAUUUUUGAUGAAAAUUUACUCUUCCUGUGCUGCAUCCUCGAAAAUCUUUGUUCAUAGGCAUGAUUGUGAAGUGAGUGAUAUUUUUCUCUGGUAAGAUAGUUCUUGUAAAGAGACAUAAUCAGAUUUUUUAGUUCAAUAUAUGAUUACAACUCUAUACAUUCCAUUUGAAAAUUUGCAUGUAAUGUGUUUAUGUUGACUGAGAAUGGAGUCGCAAAUAUACAAAAUAAAAGAUUAUUUCUUUGGCAAUCU